GUAGGGAAUAUUGGGCAAUGGAGGCAACUCUGAACCAGCCAUGCCGCGUGCAGGAUGACGGCCCUCUGGGUUGUAAACUGCUUUUAUACGGGAAGAAAAAAUACUACGUGUAGUAUACUGACGGUACCGUAAGAAUAAGGAUCGGCUAACUCCGUGCCAGCAGCCGCGGUAAUACGGAGGAUCCAAGCGUUGUCCGGAUUUAUUGGGUUUAAAGGGUGCGUAGGCGGAUCUUUAAGUCAGUGGUGAAAGCCUGCAGCUUAACUGUAGAAUUGCCAUUGAAACUGAAGAUCUUGAAUGUGGUUAAAGUAGGCGGAAUGUAUCAUGUAGCGGUGAAAUGCUUAGAUAUGAUACAGAACACCGAUAGCGAAGGCAGCUUGCUGAACCAUUAUUGACGCUGAGGCACGAAAGCGUGGGGAGCGAACAGGAUUAGAAACCCGAGUAGUCC
rnacentral:rRNA from 1 species